rnacentral:rRNA from 1 species
GGAAAGGCGCGCGAUACAGGGUGACAGCCCCGUACACAAAAAUGCACAUGCUGUGAGCUCGAUGAGUAGGGCGGGACACGUGGUAUCCUGUCUGAAUAUGGGGGGACCAUCCUCCAAGGCUAAAUACUCCUGACUGACCGAUAGUGAACCAGUACCGUGAGGGAAAGGCGAAAAGAACCCCGGCGAGGGGAGUGAAAAAGAACCUGAAACCGUGUACGUACAAGCAGUGGGAGCACGCUUAGGCGUGUGACUGCGUACCUUUUGUAUAAUGGGUCAGCGACUUAUAUUCUGUAGCAAGGUUAACCGAAUAGGGGAGCCGAAGGGAAACCGAGUCUUAACUGGGCGUUAAGUUGCAGGGUAUAGACCCGAAACCCGGUGAUCUAGCCAUGGGCAGGUUGAAGGUUGGGUAACACUAACUGGAGGACCGAACCGACUAAUGUUGAAAAAUUAGCGGAUGACUUGUGGCUGGGGGUGAAAGGCCAAUCAAACCGGGAGAUAGCUGGUUCUCCCCGAAAGCUAUUUAGGUAGCGCCUCGUGAAUUCAUCUCCGGGGGUAGAGCACUGUUUCGGCAAGGGGGUCAUCCCGACUUACCAACCCGAUGCAAACUGCGAAUACCGGAGAAUGUUAUCACGGGAGACACACGGCGGGUGCUAACGUCCGUCGUGAAGAGGGAAACAACCCAGACCGCCAGCUAAGGUCCCAAAGUCAUGGUUAAGUGGGAAACGAUGUGGGAAGGCCCAGACAGCCAGGAUGUU